rnacentral:rRNA from 1 species
CGAAAGCCUGACGGAGCAACGCCGCGUGAGGGAUGGAGGCCUUUGGGCUGUAAACCUCUUUUCUCAAGGAAGAAGAUCUGACGGUACUUGAGGAAUAAGCCACGGCUAAUUCCGUGCCAGCAGCCGCGGUAAUACGGGAGUGGCAAGCGUUAUCCGGAAUUAUUGGGCGUAAAGCGUCCGCAGGCGGCCGUUUAAGUCUGUUGUUAAAUCGUGGAGCUCAACUCCAUCACGGCAAUGGAAACUGUUCGGCUUGAGUAUGGUAGGGGCAGAGGGAAUUUCCGGUGUAGCGGUGAAAUGCGUAGAUAUCGGGAAGAACACCAGUGGCGAAAGCGCUCUGCUGGGCCAUUACUGACGCUCAUGGACGAAAGCCAGGGGAGCGAAAGGGAUUAGAUACCCCUGUAGUCCUGGCCGUAAACGAUGAACACUAGAUGUUGGGGGAAUCGACCCCCUCGGUGUCGUAGCUAACGCGUUAAGUGUUCCGCCUGGGGAGUACGCACGCAAGUGUGAAACUCAAAGGAAUUGACGGGGGCCCGCACAAGCGGCGGAGUAUGUGGUUUAAUUCGAUGCAACGCGAAGAACCUUACCAAGGCUUGACAUCCUGCGAAUCUCUAAGAAAUUAGAGAGUGCCUUCGGGAACGCAGUGACAGGUGGUGCAUGGCUGUCGUCAGCUCGUGUCGUGAGAUGUUGGGUUAAGUCCCGCAACGAGCGCAACCCACGUUUUUAGUUGCCAGCAUUCAGUUGGGCACUCUAGAGAGACUGCCGGUGACAAACCGGAGGAAGGUGUGGACGACGUCAAGUCAUCAUGCCCCUUACGCCUUGGGCUACACACGUACUACAAUGCUGCGGACAAAGAGUAGCGAUCUUGCGAAAGUUAGCUAAUCUCAUAAACCGUGGCUCAGUUCAGAUCGUAGGCUGCAACUCGCCUACGUGAAGGAGGAAUCGCUAGUAAUCGCAGGUCAGCAUACUGCGGUGAAUACGUUCCCGGGCCUUGUACACACCGCCCGUCACACCAUGGAAGUUGGCCAUGCCCGAAGUCGUUACUCUAACCUUUUGGAAGAGGGCGCCGAAGGCAGGGCUAAUGACUGGGGUGAAGUCGUAACAAGGUAGCCGUAGCGGAAGCUGCGGCUGGAUCACCUCCUAA